rnacentral:misc_RNA from 1 species
UGGCUCUCGCAUCGAUGAAGAACGCAGCGAAAUGCGAUAAGUAAUGUGAAUUGCAGAAUUCAGUGAAUCAUCGAAUCUUUGAACGCACCUUGCGCUCCUUGGUAUUCCGAGGAGCAUGCCUGUUUGAGUGUCAUGGAAUUCUCAACUCUGUUUGCUUUUGUGAAUAGAGCUUGGACUUGGAGGUUUAUUGCCGGUACCUGUGAUCGGCUCCUCUUGAAUGCAUUAGCUCGAACCUUUUGUGGAUCAGCUUAUCGGUGUGAUAAAAAUGUCUACGCCGUUACUGUGAAGCAUAUUAUUCGGCUUCCAAUCGUCCUUCACGGGACAAUAACUUUGACCUUUGACCUCAAAUCAGGUAGGAUUACCCGCUGA